AAUUGUGUAUGUUUUGUUCUUUUAGUUUCUACGCAGUUUAUCGGUUGGUUUGAUUUAUACAUUUUGUGCAUUUUUGAUUUGUGUUUUUGAAGUUGUCAAACUAAUUGUUAAUUGGUGGUUUUCAAUUGAAGCAAACAAAUUUAUUGACGGUUUCGCUGCCAAAUUGCCUGUGCGCACGACCAAGUUUAUUAGGUAACCAAACUUUUUUCUGAAACUUUUUUCUCUAUUUCUGCUUUGGUUUUUUUCUUAUCCAAACAUUGCUGAUCUGAAGUAUUUUUCUUUUCUUGCGUUUGGGUCUUUUGUUCAUGAAUCUGUUCAUAAAACUGAAGAAUCCUUGAGUUGGGUUUAACCCUGACAAGGAUCUGUUGAGUUUAGUUUGGUUUAGUUGAGUUAUUUCUUUCACUGCUGGGCUGUCUAAUGUAAGUUCUUUAGUUGAGUUAUUUUUUUUUAUUAUAUCUUUUUUAUUUGCAUUUUGUUUUGUUUUCUUCAUCUAGUUUCCUUACUUAAACCACAGUGGAGAACAUACUUAUGCUUUUUUAUGUAAAUGGAACCAAGGUUCUAAAAAAUCGCUAGGCUUUAAUCUGCGGCCGGAGUGGGCCUAGCGCCUAGGCGGCUAGGGCGGCCGCCAGGCGGGGCCUAGGCGGUUUUUUAUUAUUAUUUAUUUAUUUAUUUAUUUAAAUUCAUUAAUAUUUAUUAAAACUACUAUAAAAUGACCAAUAUCAAAUCUAAACCAAAAAAUUAUAAUUAAAUAGUAAAGUUCAAUGUUUAAUAUUUGAAAAUAAUACAAGAGGAAGAUAGAAACGAUAUUUAGUGCUCUAAAAUAUAUAAAAUUAGAAACUAGAUCUCUAACAGCACUAGGCGUUAAGCGGGCGGGCGGAGGGCCCAGUGCCCUGGCGGGGGCCUAGUCUCUAGGGUGCCGAGGGGGGCCUAGCUCCUAGGCGGGGGGGGGGGCCUAGGCGGCCUGGCGGAGGAUUUUAGAACAGAGAAUGGACGUGAUAUUUGGGCAAGACGGGGAUGGGGCUAUAUGUUUAUUGCAACCCGUUAAGUUGUGGCAAACUUGUUGAUGUUGACGAAUGUUUGAAUUUGCUAAACCGCUAAUCGUUGGGAUGAGAAUUUGUUUUGUUGCUAAACCCUUAAUCGUUGGCAAUUUAUGGUUCAUUGGAAGUAUAAAAGUUGCUGUUGAUUGUUCUUCUUUUCUCUCUCAUGAGUCAAGACCUUUAUUUUUGUUUUGCUUUUUUUUUUUGUUUUUUUUUUUACUUUUUUGAUUUGUCUUGAUUAGAGAAAUCAAAUAAAUUUUUUUUUAAAGUGUUUUUUUAAAGUAGAUUUUUUUGAAAGCAGUUUUUUUAACAGAACCAUUUUUUGGAAUAAUUUUUUUAAACAGAAAAUUAUUUUUGAAAUAUAGCUUCUUUUUUUUAAACAGUGUUUUAGAACAGUUUUUUCGAAACAGGUUUUUUGUUCCAGAAAAUUGUUUUUUUUUUCAACUAUUUUUUUUAAAUGCUAAAAACAUAAAAAAAUAAGUAAAGUAAAACAUGUUUGGGGUGAAGGUGAUAAAUAUAUAAUUGGAUUAAUUUUGUAGGUUGAGUUUGACUUUAAAUAAAUGGUUCGAGUUAGAUUUGACUUAUAAUCAUGCUGUUAAAUGGGUUACUAAUCAGUCAUCAAUUCAUUAGUAACCCAAGCCAUUUAUGACCCGCCCAAUAUUAACCUAACUCACCCAAUUGCCACCUCUACAUGAGAUGCUCUUAGAAUAAAAUGUCUCUAAGGCAUAGGUCUAAAAAAAGUAAUUAAUUAAAAUAAAAAAUAUAAUAGGAAUAAGAAUAUGAUUCACAUUGUUUUAAUUCAAUUGGAAUAAGAUUCACUCUGUUUGGGAUAAGUUUUUUUUUUUAAAGAUUUUAGUCACUUUUUUACUUUGUUUGGGAUACAUUAUUUUUUUUUUUAAAAAAAAUUAUUUGAUAUAUUUGAGAUUGGUGUACAAAAAAAAAUACUAUAUCUUUUUGGAUAUCCCAAACAACCUACUUGGCUUUUUUGUUCCACUUUACUUAAAAAAAAAAAUCAAACAAUUUUUUUUUUUUAAUUAUCCCAAAAGGGACCUAAAAAACAACCUAAUUCCCUCAUUCUAACAUGGCCCUUAUGAAGGCGAUAUUGGCAUUGGUGUAUGGAAACUAAAAAGACGGUAAAUAUAUGCUUUUGUUUCUAAAUUUUGAUUUUCCAGGUGUAACUUCUAUGAUUUUGAGUCUUUUUAGACAGUAGCCUAGAUGUAAUUAUCUACCACUCCUAUUUUGUUCUCAUCCUUAUCAUUUGUAGGUCAUGCGAGCCCAUGAUAUUUGAUGAAAGAUUUAAUUUUCUUUUGCCAGGUGUGACUCUCAUUUUGAAUAGAACUUCAUGACGGUUUCGUUGUUAGUGAAAGAAGCAGCUGGUGAACCUGGCCUCCACCGCACACAUCUCAGUUGGUGUUGUUUUUUUCUCAACGCUGAUAUUCUUUUGUUUAUUGGUUGGAUCACUCUGUGCAUCUUUGUCCUGUUUUUUUUAAUCUAUUAAUUUUUUAAAAAAUUGGAUCAAUUUGUUAGUUUUUGGAAGGGAUCGCUUGGUCCACUUGAUGCAUUUUCUAAUUCUUGCUGUUGCACACUGUGGUGUGGUUUGUCGAUUAGGUUUCUAUACUUUGUUUAUGAAACUUUGAUGUCAUUUUGUUGAUGAUGAUCAUACUUUAUACAAUUCACAAUUGAGAAGUGUUUAAAGACUUUCUGAGAA
rnacentral:lncRNA from 1 species